rnacentral:rRNA from 1 species
UGCGAAUGCUGACAUAAGUAACGAUAAAGCGGGUGAAAAGCCCGCUCGCCGGAAGACCAAGGGUUCCUGUCCAACGUUAAUCGGGGCAGGGUGAGUCGACCCCUAAGGCGAGGCCGAAAGGCGUAGUCGAUGGGAAACAGGUUAAUAUUCCUGUACUUGGUGUUACUGCGAAGGGGGGACGGAGAAGGCUAUGUUAGCCGGGCGACGGUUGUCCCGGUUUAAGCAUGUAGGCUGAUUGUCCAGGCAAAUCCGGAUAAUCAAGGCUGAGGUGUGAUGACGAGGCACUACGGUGCUGAAGUAACAAAUGCCCUGCUUCCAGGAAAAGCCUCUAAGCAUCAGGUAACAUCAAAUCGUACCCCAAACCGACACAGGUGGUCAGGUAGAGAAUACCAAGGCGCUUGAGAGAGCUCGGGUGAAGGAACUAGGCAAAAUGGUGCCGUAACUUCGGGAGAAGGCACGCUGGUGUGUAGGUGAAGUCCCUGCGGAUGGAGCUGAGACCAGUCGAAGAUACCAGCUGGCUGCAACUGUUUAUUAAA